UUUUCAUGAAACUAUUCCCAUACAAAAAAAAGUUACACUUAGUCAUAACUUUUCUGUAACUAAAGUGUAACUUUUAUGUACCUAAGAUUUAGGCACAUAAAAGUUAUAACUUUUUUGUACCUAGAUUGGACUUAAACUUUUUGCCCUAUAACUAAAAUGUACCUACAUGGAACUUAGAAAUUUCUUAGUAUAACUAAAAUGUACCUACAUUGAACUUAGAAACUUUUCAGUAUAACUAAAAUGUACCUACAUUGAACUUAGAAACUUUUCAGUAUAACUAAAAUGUACCUACAUUGAACUUAGAAACUUUUCAGUAUAACUAAAAUGUACCUACAUUGAACUUAGAAAAUGUUCAGUAUAACUGAAAUGUACCUACAUUGAACUUAGAAACUUUUCAGUAUAACUAAAAUGUACCUACAUUGAACUUAGUCAAUUUGUGAAUGUGUUUGGACUUUGUCAUUUUUACACUAAAAAUUUAAGUGUAUCUUAUCCAAGAGGUUCAAGUUUAAAGUACACUUUUAUCACAAAAAAUCUAAAAACUAAUAUAAAAUAUCGUUAUAACUUUGUUUUUUAAUAAAAAUCACGAUAAGUGGGGGGGGGUAGAUGUAGGUAGAUCACACACUGGGUAGUAAAAUCACUAAGAUUUGUUUGAAAACAAUGACAUAACCAUUAUAACGGGAAUCCAGUCCAUCAAUUGCAACACAAACACCUGUCCAAAAUUUUAUUGUUUUUAUAAGGCAGAAACAGGAAAUCACUUUCCGCCUGAACGCACACACAUCCCAGGUUAACAGUAAAGGGUGUCUAAAGAGGUCAUGAUUAGUCCGUGCUGUGAUGACACUGAUGUUUGUUUAAGAAAAAAAGUUGAUGUGUGUGUUUUGACCAGCAGACAUUUUUUAUUUUGCUCCUGCAAGCAUUAUUUUGUUAUCUGUCUCUUGAACAUCAUUAGACAUAUUACGAUUUCGUUUAAACACUGUUAAAUACUAAGGGGUAGCAUCAACUUUAUAUUAUCACUGAAAUUUUUUCCAACUUUUCAUGGCCUACCCCAUGAAUAAAGGAAUAGAGUAGAUUUCUAGAAAUUGAUUCAGAAUUUUCUCACGACAUCGAAUGCAUGCGAAGAAAAGGGGGGGGGGGGGCUGGGGAGGGGUGGUAGCAUUGUUUGUUAUUAUGAGAUGGGUUCAUCAUAUUUAUUCACAUAUUUGAUUUAUAGACAUGCUGUUAACAAAGAACAGUACUGCUAUUUCCAUCUGUAUGUUUUCCCAGUACUAGCCUAUCUCUCAUCGUAAUUUAUAACAGCACAUAGCUAUAAGGACUGUGUUAUAAACUUUGGGAAACAUGUUUUAUUAAAAAAAGGUGUUAUAAUUUUUGGUUUUACAUAUUCAUCAAUUGUAAAAAUGCAUUAGUAUUUAAUUUGAUUUAGUUUUUAAAUUUCCCUCAAAUUAUUCAAAAUGGCGGCUCUUGAGACCGGAAAUGCCCAGUUUUGAUGAUCGGUUAAUAAACUAACAGGUUGUAAGGAAAGAAAAUAUUACUAAAAUUUGUUUCAAUUAAAUGCAGAAUUCUUUAGAUAAUAUUAAGUAAAUAAUAUUGUUUUUUAACCAAAAUAAAUUUUAAAGAUUUAUCCCGGUAUUAAUCGUGGCUGUAUCGUGAUUGGCCAAAAUUUCAAACUUUGACUUUCGUGAAUUCUGAUUGGACAAUUGCCAUUCCGCCAUCAAAUUUUGAAAUGGGCAAAGAAGACUGGAGUUGUUGUGAAGAUUUUCCUGAUUUUUUCAAGAAAUAUGCAGAAUCACAGCGUGUUGUAUGUAUUAAUGAAACUGCAAGCAGUGGUUUCAUAAAGAUAGACAUGCUUAAGACCUGGAUGAUAUGGCUUUAGUUGUGGAUGACCAUUUCCAUUCACGAAAAAAUCCCAACCAAGUCCAGCUAGCAGACUGUACACCAGAUGGAAGAUACAUCAUUAAUACAAGAUGAAAAAAAUUAAUGGAGGACGAGGAUAAUACUAUGAAAGAGAUAAGAUGCAAAAGCAACCGUUCCCAUUGAAAUACAUGCAGCCAUGUAAACAGAAACCAGUUUUCCCCUGCCAGGUGCUGGUCACAUAUAUAUUCAACUUGGAACAGAUUCAAGAAACAGAUCCAGUUGUUUGCUGAUAAAUUACUGCAGGUCAUUGGUAUAUCAUCUAGAACCAGGACUGUUUUAAAAAUCAUACUAGUAUGUUUGGAACAAAAUCAUGCUAGUAUAUGUUAGGAAUUUAACCUAAAACAUGCUUUAUGAAGGUUUUGGUCAAAUUUGGGUUUACAAAAUAAUGUUUUUCAAACUUUCUAUUCAAAUUUAGCAAGAACAUUAGACACACAUGUAAUCCCAAAUGCUUUUAUGUUAGAUUAUUGCUUUAUUUAAAAAACUUGCAUAUAGGGUCUGUAAUGAUUUGAGAUAAUUAUGUAAACAAUAAAAUGCUUUCUUUGGUGACAUAUGCGGGAUAUGAAUGUAGCGACAUUGCAGAAAAAAUACAUUACCCGCAUUAGCGAGUUAUGUAAAUUUUUUCUGCAAUCAUUGCUCCCUUCAUUACCUGCAUGAAUCGUCAAAGAAAGCAUUAUAUUGUUUAUAUUUACAUCUUUCUUUUAACAAAUUAAUAAAUUGUU